GGGAGUCACACACACAGCUGAAGGACGACUGAAGAGAGACGAGAGGAGAAGCGGCUUGAGGAGUGGUUCAGCGGAUUCACAUCUGAUGAUCUCAUGUGAGAUGAAUAAAUACAUAACUACAG